AAUAGAUACCCAGGUAGUCCACGCCGUAAACGAUGAGUGCUAAGUGUUAGGGGGUUUCCGCCCCUUAGUGCUGCAGCUAACGCAUUAAGCACUCCGCCUGGGGAGUACGGUCGCAAGACUGAAACUCAAAGGAAUUGACGGGGGGCCCGCACAAGCGGUGGAGCAUGUGGUUUAAUUCGAAGCAACGCGAAGAACCUUACCAGGUCUUGACAUCCCAUUGACCACUAUGGAGACAUAGUUUUCCCUUCGGGGACAACGGUGACAGGUGGUGCAUGGUUGUCGUCAGCUCGUGUCGUGAGAUGUUGGGUUAAGUCCCGCAACGAGCGCAACCCUUGUUCUUAGUUGCCAGCAUUUAGUUGGGCACUCUAAGGUGACUGCCGGUGACAAACCGGAGGAAGGUGGGGAGUGACGUCAAAUCAUCAUGCCCCUUAUGACCUGGGCUACACACGUGCUACAAUGGAUGGUACAAAGGGCUGCAAGACCGCGAGGUCAAGCCAAUCUCAUAAAACCAUUCUCAGUUCGGAUUGUAGG
rnacentral:rRNA from 1 species